AAUAUUGCAGUCGCCCACCAUAAUUCAUAAUUUAUUAUUAUUUUUUAAUACAAUUUUAAUAAUGUCAAAGUCAACUAUAAUUUAUAAAUUACUACACAUAAAAUAACUAAUAAUUAAAGAUGCACCUGCAUCGGCUGCAAUAGUUAUUGGCUCAUGUAUAUAGCGUUAUCUGUACGAACGGAAAUCCCCUCUUUCAUUGAAACGUUGUAAUAUAACCACGAGAUUACGAACAUGUACACGCUUUUGCAACUUUUAAUACUUGGCAUUUUCGUUACUUUGCAAAACUCAUAUAAACGUUUAGACUAACUAGACGCUUUACAUCUUGACAUUUCAUCUAACAAUUUUCUAUUAUGGCAAUGAAUAGAAAUACCACAGUGGAUCCUGAGUACGAGAACUUUGUAUUACAAUAAUAUAAUAUUUUAUUAAAUUUAUUAGCAGCUGUUAUAGUUUUCACAUGUAUAACAUGUAAAGCUGCAAAUAACUUGAAUUCUAUAUAAUAUCAUACAAUAUUUAGCAUAUUGAAAAAAUUAUUUACUUAAUUAAUAAUUCUAUUUUAUUCUAAUCUAAGUAAUUUAUGUAACUGUUAACUGUAUUAUACAAUUUAUCAUUCUUUUAGGGAUUGCACAGCAUUUUCAGUAGCACCAAGAUUUCAGCUACCAUUAAUUCAAACUCCACCUGAUUUAAAAAUUGCAUUGCAAAGACAUUUGCAAGAAGAUAAUAACCUUUCACAAAAAUGUCUUGAUUAUAUAAAAUGCAUUAAGAGUUUGCAUAAUGUACAAAGGCUAAAUUAUGAUUAUUAUUUAACUAUACUAAAAAUGUGCUUAUAUUUAGAGCAGUUUGAAUUAGAUUGUGAACUGGGACGGUACAAAUUGUUAAAUCAUAAAAUUAAGAACUCCAAUUUAAAUGAAUGUUUCUUUAUUGAUUUACCAUAUAUGAAUAAGGAAACUCCUAUAGUUGUACCAGAUGAUAAAGUGUAUCGUACUGAAACUAUUACAAAAGAAACAAUUUGCGCUAGAGUUUUGAAGAUAACAGAAAAUCAAAUAACAAUACAGCCAGAGUUUUUUUAAGUAUAGAAAUGCAAGAAUAUUCAAAGACGAAAACAAGAGGUUUAAUAUAAAUUUUGGGAGUAAACAUUAUCCAUUAAAAUGUUGCCAUUAUGCAUUGAUGAUAAUGAGUGAAAAAACACAAUUUAGAAGAAAUUAUAUAUCCUAAACUCAAAAUAAAUAAUACAGAUUUAAAAGAUAACAUUAAAUGGAUAAACACUAAGAUAGAACAGAAUGAAGAACAAAAACAAGCGAUAAGGAAAAUCUUGUGUAAUACAGCAUACCCAGCACCUUAUAUAAUUUUCGGUCCUCCAGGCACUGGGAAAACAGUAACAUUAGUCGAACUUAUAUGUCAAGUAAUUUGUUUUCUUUUUAUAUCUAACACAUUUUAUU